rnacentral:rRNA from 1 species
GACGAACCGUGCAAACGUUGUUCGGAUUCACUGGGCUUAAAGGGCGCGUAGGCGGGCGGUCAAGUCAGGGGUGAAAGCCUCCAGCUCAACUGGAGAAGUGCCUCUGAUACUGAUCGUCUUGAGGGAGGUAGGGGCAUGUGGAACUCAGGGUGGAGCGGUGAAAUGCGUAGAUAUCCUGAGAACGCCGGUGGCGAAGCGACGUGCUGGACCUCUUCUGACGCUGAGGAGCGAAAGCGUGGGGAGCGAACAGG